rnacentral:rRNA from 1 species
GACGAACGCUGGCGGCGUGCUUAACACAUGCAAGUCGAACGGAAAGGCCCUGCUUUUGUGGGGUGCUCGAGUGGCGAACGUGUGAGUAACACGUGUGUAACCUGCCCUUGACUUUGGGAUAACUUCAGGUAACUGGGGCUAAUACCGGAUAUGAUCUCCUGCUGCAUGUUGGGGGUUGGUAAUUUUCGGGGUUUGGGGAUGGACUGGCGGCUUAUCAGCUUUUUGGUGGGGUAGUGGCUUACCAAGGGUUUGACGGGUAGCCGGCCUGAGAGGGUGACCGGCGAAAUUGGGACUGAGAUACGGAACAGAGGGCAACGGGAGGCAGCAGUGGGGAAUAGUGCACAAUGGGAGGAAGCGAGAUGAAGAAACGCCGCGAGCGGGAUGACGGGCUUCGGGUUGUAAACAGAAUUCGAAUGAGACGAAGAGUGAGUGACGGUAAUGGGUAAAGAAGCAACGGCUAACUACGUG